GAUCUUGGCAGGCUUCUUGGGGAGGUUUCACCUGGGUUUGGGUGGACAAGGAGGAGUUGAGCCUGGUGGCUUGGAGAAAGGUGUUCCUGGCUGGGGACGUGGUGACAUUCCAGUGGCGGGAUAGGUUAGUUGUUCUGUCUGGCUGUGUGACGCAUGCAUGAAGUUAGGGUCAGGUCGGGAAGGGCCCUGCAUGUCAGGUGGGGGGAAGCCAACAAGGUCUUCAGGCUUGCUGCGGAGCGGAGAUCUGCUGUGAUGGGUCCAGGCGGCUGGUGUUGGGGAGUUGGGGAGAAGAGCGUGACUUCAUGUCAAGGAAGCCCUGGGUUGGUACCGCUCCCUGGCUAGAUGACCACCGGCAAGUCAUUUCACCUCUCUGAGCCUCUCUGUUUUAUCAUCUUCAAGUGGGCAUGAUCCUAACCACCUCUUGGGCUUUUUGUGAGGUUAACCGACAGGGUGCUUGUCAAAGCUCAACACCUUCCUGGCCCAAGGAAGUGCUCAGCACAUGGCUGCUGAAAGCAGGCAGCUGAGGACUCCAGGCACCGGUCCUGCCUCUGCCCAGCCAGGCCUGGUGCCUGCUCAGCACCGGCUGCCCAGUGCUCUGACCACCCCCCUUUCCUCCCACAGAUCCCUUUGGGCGUCCCACAAGCUUCGCCUCUUUGGCUGCCCUCUCCAACGGGGCCUUUGGAGGCCUGGGCAGCCCCACAUUCAGUGAGUGCGGGUGCGGUGGGGUCGGGGGGCUGCGGCCACAGGGUGAGAGCUCAGACGGUCUGGGAGGAGGCCUGAACAGGGCCUCCCACUUCUGGCCCCUGUCACUCUCUGCUUCACCCUCUGCCCAGACUCCGGCGCCGUCUUUGCCCAGAAAGAAAGCCCAGGGGCCCCACCAGCCUUCGCCUCCCCACCGGACCCAUGGGGCCGCCUGCACCGCAGUCCUCUGACCUUUCCUGCCUGGGUCCGGCCCCCUGAGGCCGCCCGGACUCCAGGCUCAGACAAGGAGCGGCCUGUGGAGCGGAGGGAGCCCUCCAUCACCAAGGAGGAGAAGGACAGGGACCUCCCCUUCUCACGGCCCCAGCUCCGAGUUUCUCCUGCUACUCCCAAGGCCCGGGCUGGUGAGGAGGGGCCUCGGCCAACCAAGGAAUCUGUGCGGGUAAAGGAAGAGCGGAAGGAGGAGGCUGCCGCCGCCGCCGCUGCUGCUGCUGCCGCCGCCGCUGCCGCCGCCGCAGCAGCCACUGGGCCCCAGGGCCUUCACCUGCUCUUUGAGAGGCCCCGGCCGCCCCCGUUUCUGGGCCCUAGCCCACCAGAUCGCUGUGCUGGCUUCCUGGAGCCAACCUGGUUGGCAGCACCCCCACGCCUGGCAAGGCCACCCCGCUUCUAUGAGGCGGGUGAGGAGCUAACUGGACCCGGGGCCGUGGCCGCUGCCCGCCUCUACGGUCUGGAACCUGCUCACCCCUUGCUCUACAGCCGCUUGGCUCCUCCACCACCACCUGCUGCGGCCCCGGGAACCCCUCACCUUCUCAGCAAGACCCCACCGGGAGCCCUUUUGGGGGCACCACCUCCGCUUGUGCCCGCCCCCCGGCCCAGUUCCCCACCUAGGGGCCCUGGCCCAGCUCGGGCUGACAGGUGAGGGGAACGGGGGGGGUCGGGGCAAAGCUCCAUCUCCCCUUCCUUUAACCAGGUCCUAGGGCUGAGGUUUUAAGCCAGGGCUGGAGGGCAAAGGUCAUAACCUCACCAGCCACCUCUGAGGUCAUGGAACUUGGGAACAGAAGCCUCAACCCCCACAAGACCAAGCAUCACAUGGAGUGUAGGGUCACUGGGAGAGCAGAGGUCACAGCCUCUAGAGAGGGAGAGGGGCGUGUGCAUGGGAGUGUGGCUCAUCUCGGGGGCCAUGGGGCCUCCUGAGGUACACCUUUGCCCCUGUAAGGGCCUCUAGGCCCUGGGCCUGCCUCCCCAAGGGCUCACUAAGCCAGAGGCCAAAGUGCCCCCUCCCGUUCACCUACCACCCAAGUCCUCAUGCCCUCCGAGGGCUGGGGGAGGAGGGGCUCAAGGAAGGGGGGUUCCAUGUACAUAUUUAUCACCCCUUUCACAUAGCCCCAAGACCUUUUGUACAUUUUUACAGGGGUGCCCCUCCCAACAGUUCCCUUCCUGGUUAAUUAAACCCUCAGACUGGUGCUGUGUUCCUAGCCUCUGGCCUCUCUGUGGGGGAAGGGGACUGCAAGGGGAAGAGCCGGGAAGGGACAGUCAGGCUUCUCCCUGGGAAGGUGGGGCCAGCAGGAGAUGACCAACAGGGGGCAGGACCUGGGGACCUGGGCUGGAGGGAAGGGCAGAAGCUUCCUACUUGGCUGACAGCCCCGGUUCCCCCAACAUGUUCCCGUUCACUCUGCCCCCACCCCCAAAGGCUCAGCCUCUAAAUCUCAGACUCCACCACUUCUUAAUGGCUCAGUCCCCCUCACCCCAUUUCCAAGUGCCCCCAGGACUCCUGGGCCCUGCUUCCCUGAACCCUGUUCUCCAAAACCCUGCCCCAGGCUAAGGGUGGCCAGAGAAGGUCACCAUGUACCACACACCAAAGAAGGGGGUCGGCCCAGGGGUGGGCGACACAGGCAGCUUCUUCGGCAGCCUCACGGCAGCAACCCCAGCCUUCCCAAAGCAGCAGGCGCCUCCAGGCUGGGGCCCAACCUAGAAGGCAGGGGUCAAUCUAACAAAACCCUAACGUUGACUUUUUUCCCCGGUGGGGCUUCUUCUGUAACAUGACUUGCGAAUAUUUAUAUAAAAACGAGUGUUACAAUGAG
rnacentral:sRNA from 1 species